GCCGCCGCCACCAAGCCUGCCCAAGCCGCCUCGGGGAAGCCUCCGCAAAGCCGCCCCCGCUCCGCACGGCCACGCUGCGGCUUCCCUGCCCCAGCGCCCGCUACGGGUCCCGUGGGCGAGCCGGGGGCAGCGGCCCCGCAGGGCAGAGCUCACGGCACCGCCUGGCUGGCUCCGUCCAGCCCCUGGCCCCGCACAUCUGGCUCCGCGCCACGGGGGGCGAGUCCCCCCACCCCGGGGCCCGCCGGGCUGCGGGAGAAGCCCCGAGAGCCGCUGCGCCUGGGGAAAGCUCGCUCCAGUGCGCGGCGGCGCCUCUUCCUCUCUGCCGAGGCUCCCGCUGCUGCACGUACUGGGGAAAAGGGGCGGGGAGCGGUCCCCGCUCCCUUCCGCGUGCGCCGCUCUCGGCAGCCUCAACCUGCACCGCCAGCCCCCGCCCUCCCCAGGCCGGAGUAGGGUAAGAGUCCUGCAGCUUGCUGGUUCAGAAAAGCUAUGAGAAGCCAAGUUACAAAACCACUCUGAGUGGCUGAAGAAGGAAGAUUAGAUAACCAGAGCAGUCAUAAAGGAUAACUGAUGGGGAGGCCCAGAGGGGUCAAAGGCAAGACCAGAGGCUGAACCAGAACAUCCUGUCUCUGAAGUCUAUACAGAUACAAAAUAGUUGGAACUCAGAAGAUGUAUGUGCAUAAUUUCAAAGAAAAUGGCAGUUGAAAAAUUAAAUUACAAAAAAAUCAUUACUUGUGUUAACCUCUGAGAUAAUUAAAAUGAGGCUAGGCAGAAUUCAAUUUUUAUCAUUUCAAUGGAAUUAUUCAUGUUUAUUUUAAAGUAUUUUUGUAUCAUUUAGAUUUUCACAGUUGUGCAGAAUUAUGGAUUUUAAUUUUUUUUCAAUUUUUAUUGAUUUACAUUUUUACAACUGUUGGAAAUGAUAGGGGAUCAGACAAUGAGGGGGUCUGAUAAUUAUUCAGUAAAAUUGACUGUAGAUGUUGAGAUUCAAAAAGUUAAAACUGUACAACCAUUAAAACACCAAUUGUCAACAUCAGAAUCUAAAUAUACAAAGUAAAUAUCCUUAAAUCCAACUCUAAGAAGUUUUCAGCAGCCUUUUUCUUGCUUUACCUGUCUGUAAAUUUCAAUUAUCAAUGGAAUUAUUUUUUCAUUUAUUUG
rnacentral:lncRNA from 1 species